GGCUCCGGUGACCUAAGUGGUUACAGCGUCCGCUUUGGAUGCGGGAGGUCGUGGGUUCGAGCUGCGACCGACCCAUGCCA